rnacentral:lncRNA from 1 species
GGCGUGUUGACAGGCCCCAUACGUGGCGUUGGUUGUACCGGCGUAUGGGGAGAUUAUGUGGGAUACAGAGAAAUGAAAUAAGGUAUCGCCCAAGUGUGGAAUUGGAUUUUAGGGAAGAACUACGUGUGGCUUGAUCCCUCAAGGAGGGUACGUAGGCAGCCUAAGGUUAUUAGGUGCAGCCGCAGACUAAAUAUUAGUCAUAUUUGGUAUUUGAAUUGUUUGGUAAUCGGUUAAGAAUUAUUGGAAGGCCGAAGGCCAUUUGUGUGAAUUGCAUG